AUUAAUAUUAUUCAUAUUUCAGCUAACAGAAUCACUAACUUUCCUCUUGAAAAGAAUCUAUGAUUCUAUGAAUCUGUCUCCUGUCAUAGGUUACCUAGUAUUAUGGAUGGAAUGUUUGUGUCCCAGCAAAAUUCAUAUGUUGAAACCCUACCGCACAAUGUGGUAUUAGAAGGUGAGGCCUCUGGAAAUACAAGAUCUGAAGAGACUGACACUCUGUGAUUGAUGACCCGGAUGGAAUGAUGUGGUGGACGAUGGAAUCGGCAGUCACUCAGACCGUGGCUUCAGUUCUGCUCCGCCACUUACUAGUGGCUGCUGUUUUCCCAGGAAGCGUUGGACACCAGAAUGGAACCUGAUUCUCACCAGCUGCAGGAACCACACCUAGUUUUCCAGUCAUGAUCCUUGACAACUCGCAUCACAACAGGAGUUAAAAAGGCAUGGUUGUGUCUCACAUUUAACAAGCGUAAAAGCUCACAAGCUCACCUGGCAUUUAUAACCAGCAUUUACCCAUUUGUCUGAAUGGGUAAUGGAUCGCCUCAGUGGCAUCACAACUGACUGUGGUUAUAUUUCAUGGGAAGGCAGAGUAGUUAUCUUAGGGGAACUAAGAGCUGUGAACGAGGAGACUGCACCCUUGGGAGGUCUAAAACUUCAAGGUCAUGGCCCAGGGUAUGCCUGAGGCAGAGAGGCUGGGGGUGGGGGCGGGAGAGUGUGUCAGUGACUGGCAGCUUCCACAGGCACUGUGGUUUUUAGAUGAUUUCAUUGAAAUGCUUUCAGGCAAGGACCUCAUCCCAGGUAGCCACAAUUCCCACCAUCUCCUAGUAUUUCUUAUUACCUUAGGUCUGAGCUAAUUGGAGAAUUUUAAAUACCUAUGCCCUUUAGCCUGGGCCAAUAUUUUCUUUGGGGUGGUGGGGGAGGGUAA